rnacentral:rRNA from 1 species
CCUACGGGUGGCAGCAGUCGAGAAUCAUUCACAAUGGGGGAAACCCUGAUGGUGCGACGCCGCGUGGGGGAAUGAAGGUCUUCGGAUUGUAAACCCCUGUCAUGUGGGAGCAAAUUAAAAAGAUAGUACCACAAGAGGAAGAGACGGCUAACUCUGUGCCAGCAGCCGCGGUAAUACAGAGGUCUCAAGCGUUGUUCGGAAUCACUGGGCGUAAAGCGUGCGUAGGCUGUUUCGUAAGUCGUGUGUGAAAGGCGCGGGCUCAACCGGCGGACGGCACGUGAGACUGCGAGACUAGAGUGAUGAAGGGGGGACCGGAAUUCUAGGUGUAGCAGUGAAAUGCGUAGAUAUCGGGAGGAACACUCGUGGCGAAGGCGGGUGCCUGGACAUUAACUGACGCUGAGGCACGAAGGCCAGGGGAGCGAAAGGGAUUAGAUACCCGAGUAGUC